rnacentral:rRNA from 1 species
AAAAAUCUUUAAAACGAGCAUUUAAUGGAAACCUUGGUAAAUUUGAAAAAGGACGUUACGUAACGAAAUUUAAAAGAAGACUUUGGUCUGUGAUAUUUAUAUUUCCUAAGAGUAAACUCAAAUAAUUUAAUUUAAUGUGAACUGAAUCAUCUUAGUAACAUUAUAAAAAUCAAACGAGAUAUCGUUAUUAAUGGUGAAUGAAAGCGAUUAUAAGCUAGUUUUUUCUAAUCUAUAAUAAAUUUAUAACCAGAGAAGGUUUAAGUCCUGUAGUAGAUUAAAAUAAAAAAUAAAAUAAAGUAAUACGAAAAGUAAUUUUGUGUGAAUAAAGGAGAACCACCUUCUAAGCUUAAAAAAAAAUUUAACCGAUAGUAUACGAGUACCGUGAGGGAAAGGUAAAAAAUUUCGAUAGAAAUUAAAAGAAAUUAAAUGUUUAUAAAUUUCGAAGUUAAUAAGACAACGAAUUGCCUUUUGCAUAAUGAGUCAGUAAGUUAAUAUGUGUAGCAAGCUUAAAUAGUUAUAUGUAGGCAAUAUAAAAGUUAUAUAUAUUAAACCUGAAGCCGGGUGAUCUAAUUGUAAACAAGUUAAAGAUUCUAUAACAAGUUUUUAAGGACUGAACUCACGUAUGUAGCAAAAUACGGAGAUGAUUUAUAAUUAGGAGCGAAAGACUAAUCAAACUCGGUGAUAGCCGGUUUUUCACGAAACGUAUUUUAGUACUACAUUAAUAAUUUAGAGUAAACUUUGGAUAGAGUACCAAAUAAACAAAGGGAAGUAAUAUUUUACUGAAUUUAUUUUAACUCCGAACUAAAGUUUAACAGUAUUAAUAGACAGUCUACAGGCGAUAAGGUUUAUAGACAAAAGGAAAACAAUCCUAAUCGGAUACUAAGAUCUUGAAAUUAUAAUUUAGGGAAAAAAAUUUUAAAAGAAGCAAAUAAUAGUAUGGAUAGGCUUAGAAGCAGUCUUUCAUUAGAGAAAGCGUUUUAGCUCGUUAUUUUGUCUUUUAUUUAUUUAAAAUUAAAGGAGACUUUAAAUUAUAUAUCGAUGUAACGAAUUAUAUUAUAUUAAUGGUAGUGAAACGUUCUGCUAUUAUUUAAUAAUUGUAAAAUUAUUAAAUUUAACCAGAAGUGCUAAUGCUGACAUGAGUAACGAAAAUUAUGUUACAAAAUCAUAAUCACUUUAUGUUUAAGGUUUUCAAUGUAAUUUAAAAUACAUUGAGUUAGUCGGUCCAUAAGAGGUGAGCGAAAGCUAUACUUGAUAGGUAAUUAAUUUUUUUAAUACUAUUUAUAUGUGAUAAACUUUGUUUAUUCAUGAAAAAAAACGAAAGCAUAAUUUUUUAUAUAUUUAUUAUAUUAAGGUAAUUAAAAAUAGCUUCUUGUUUUUCGAGAAAAAAUUAUAAUUUAAAAACCGUACUUAAACCGACACAGGUAAACUAAUUGAAUAAAUUAAAGUGACUGAAAGAAUUAUAUUGAAGGAACUAGGCAAAUUAACUCUGUACGUUCGCAAUAAAGAGAACCAUAUUAAGUGAUAUGGUAUCAUAAAAGAAAAAGUAACGACUGGUUAACAAAACCACAGGACUCUGCAAAUUACUAAAAAGUAUAGGGUCUGAUGCCUGCCCAGUGCUUAAAAAUGAAAGGUUUAAGUUUAAAGCUCUAAACCCUAACUCUAAGUAAACGGCGGUUCUAACUAUAAGAAUCCUUAGGUAGCGAAAUUCCUUGGCGGGUAAAUUCCGUCCUGCAUGAAUGGCAUAACGAUUGCUUUACUGUCUCCAAUAUAAAUUCAGUGAAAUUACAUAACCUAUGAAAAUGUGGGUUACUUACAGUAAGACGGAAAGACCCUAGAUCCUUUACUCUAGUUUUAUAUUGUAAAAAGUUAAAUAUUGUAUAGCAUAAGUGGGAAUAAUUUAUAUCCGUGAAAUACCACUCAAUAAAUUAAUAAUUUACUUAUUUAAUCGUAUAAAAACCGUAUAAAAGAGAGAGUUUACUUGGGACGAGUACCUCCUAAAAUGUAACGGAGGUGUACAAAGGUGAAUAAUAGUUGUUUAUUUAACAACUAAAAGUGCAAUAAUAUAAAUUUGCUUGACAAUAAGAUUGAUAAAUCAAAUUGGGACGCAAGUCAGUUAUAGUGACCCGAUAUUUAAGUGUGGAAUUGAUAUCGUUCAACAAAUAAAAGGAACUCUAGGGAUAACAGAUUCAUCGUGACUAAAAGUUCGUAUUGAUGUCACGGUUUGAUACCUCGAUGUCGACUCAUCUUAUCCUGGAAUUGGAGCAGAUUCCAAGGGUCUAGUUGUUCGCUAGUAAAAAAGGUACGUGAGUUGGGUUCAGAACGUCGUGAGACAGUUCGGUCCCUAUCUACUGUAAGGAAAAGAAAAAUAAAAAAACUAUUUUUAGUACGAGAGGACCAAAAUAGACCAACCACUGGUGUAUUGAUUGUUAGACCAAUAGCAUAGUCAAGUAGCUAAGUUGUUUUUAGUAUAUAUACUGAAUGAAUCAAAAGUAUGAAAACAUUUUUAUUAUUUUUCAAGAAUACUCUAAAAGAAUAUUAGAUAGAUCGGUUGUAAGUAAAAUUUAGUAAUAAAUUUUUUAACAAUACGAAUAUAUUCAAAAAAGAUU